rnacentral:rRNA from 1 species
UACGUAGGGUGCGAGCGUUGCCCGGAUUUACUGGGCGUAAAGGGCGCGUAGGCGGCGUGACAAGUCACUUGUGAAAUCUCCGGGCUUAACUCGGAAAGGUCAAGUGAUACUGUCGUGCUAGAGUACAGAAGGGGCAACUGGAAUUCUCGGUGUAGCGGUGAAAUGCGUAGAUAUCGAGAGGAACACCUGCGGCGAAGGCGGGUUGCUGGGCUGAUACUGACGCUGAUGCGCGAAAGCCAGGGGAGCGAACGGG